rnacentral:tRNA from 1 species
UAGUAGCUCAGUGGGUAGAGCAGCGAACUAUUAAUUCGUCGGUCGCGGGUUCGAGUCCCGCCUA